rnacentral:tRNA from 1 species
GCCGAGGUAGCCAAGGUGGUCACGGCGGGGCUCUGAAAAAGCUCAGAUGCGUGUUCGACUCACGCCCUCGGCACCA